AGUUAACGCUGGCGGUAGGCCUAACACAUGCAAGUCGAACGGCAGCACAGUAAGAGCUUGCUCUUACGGGUGGCGAGUGGCGGACGGGUGAGGAAUACAUCGGAAUCUACUUUUUCGUGGGGGAUAACGUAGGGAAACUUACGCUAAUACCGCAUACGACCUACGGGUGAAAGCAGGGGAUCUUCGGACCUUGCGCGAUUGAAUGAGCCGAUGUCGGAUUAGCUAGUUGGCGGGGUAAAGGCCCACCAAGGCGACGAUCCGUAGCUGGUCUGAGAGGAUGAUCAGCCACACUGGAACUGAGACACGGUCCAGACUCCUACGGGAGGCAGCAGUGGGGAAUAUUGGACAAUGGGCGCAAGCCUGAUCCAGCCAUACCGCGUGGGUGAAGAAGGCCUUCGGGUUGUAAAGCCCUUUUGUUGGGAAAGAAAAGCAGCAGGUUAAGACCCCGCUGUUCUGACGGUACCCAAAGAAUAAGCACCGGCUAACUUCGU
rnacentral:rRNA from 1 species